UGCAUCAAGUUGUAAGAUGUAACAACGAGAGUUAGGGCCUUUCCAAUACAUUUUAGUAAAAUAAAGAUUGCAAGAAGUGUGCAGCCUCAAAGAGACGCACAUAUAAUGAAAUCUAUUUCCUAUUGCUAGUAUAAUUCUAUUUCACCACAAGAGGGCAUCUAAAGCAAAACGAUAUAUAGAAAGUUAUAGAAAAUAGGGCUUAGCUGUUACCUAGUUUGCUCUUGCUGUCUAUUAAUGGUACCAAAUGUACUGACACCCAUUUAUUUACAAACUAGUCCACACCAUAAGAGAAGAGCAAAAUAAAGAGGAACAUAGACACACUUGACGCGCGUUUCAUUUGUGUAUGUACACCAGGCCCAUCACAG